AUGGGUAACGAAGCUAGGACGCAUGCCAAUAAUUCCCUGCCAAACACUAUGGAUUUUGGUAUAUUUGAGAACAUGCUACAAGAGCCAAGUGUCACUCCAAUUUUCCUGCCGGUAGAAUUUCUUAAAGCCAUCACACACAAUUUUUCCAACGAGCAGGAACUCGGGAAAGGUGGGUAUGGAGUGGUUUACAAGGGGAUGCUUCAAAAUGGGAAAAUGAUUGCUGUGAAGAAACUUUUUGAAAUGCAACUAGAAGAUGAUCAAUUCCAGAAUGAGGUCACCUAUCUUAUCGGGGUUAAGCACCAAAAUAUAGUACAACUUGUAGGCUACUGCGCUGAAUCACGGUGGGAAGCGACGCAAGUAGGAGAGAAAUAUGUCAUGGCUGAAACGCGGACAAGACUACUCUGCUUCGAGUAUCUAGAAAAUAACAGCCUUGAUAAGCAUCUCUCUGCUGAAUCUUGUGGACUUGAGUGGCACAUAAGAUAUGAUAUAAUUAGGGGAGUUUGCAGCGGUUUGCGUUACCUUCAUGAUGAGUGCCGCAUUAUUCAUUUGGACCUUAAACCCCAAAAUAUAUUGUUGGAUGAUCAUAUGAUGCCCAAGCUUGUAGAUUUUGGUAUGUCUAGGCUCUUUGGCAAACAACAGUCUCGAGUUAUCACCGAAAGUCGUGGGGGUACAUUUGGAUACAUGGCUCCUGAGUACAUAAUAAAUGGAUUAAUCACAACAAAGUCAGAUAUAUUCAGUUUAGGCAUUAUAGUCAUAGAGUUAAUGACGGGACAUAGGAAAUAUCCUGAGAGUAGUGAAACACCGUUUGAGGACUUCAUCGAGAAUGUGGUUGCAAAUUGGAGGCACAGAUUGGAAAAAACACUAAGUUAUAGAGCAUUGGAAACAUGUUCCGAGCAAGUAAAUAGAUGCAUCGUAUUAGGACUAAAUUGUCUUAAUCCUGAUCCCAGUAAAAGGCCCUCUGCAUCGGAUAUCUUACAAACGCUGAAUGAAUUGGAUGGCACAAAUUUUUGUUUUGACAUGAAUGAUGUGCCAGCAGUGGGCCAGGUAUGA
rnacentral:rRNA from 1 species